rnacentral:rRNA from 1 species
AUUGAACGCUGGCGGCAGGCCUAACACAUGCAAGUCGAACGAGUGGCGGACGGGUGAGUAAUGUCUGGGAAACUGCCUGGUGGAGGGGGAUAACUACUGGAAACGGUAGCUACUACCGCAUACCAUCAGAUGUGCCCAGAUGGGAAUAGCUUGGUGGUGGGGUAACGGCCUACCAGGGAGCCGAUCCCUAGCUGGUCUGAGAGGAUGACCCGCCACCCUGGAACUGAGACACGGUCCCGAAUCCUACGGGAGGCAGCCGUGGGGAAUAUUGGACAAUGGGCGGAAGCCUGAUUCAGCCAUGCCGCGUGUAUGAAGAAGGUCUUCGGGUUGUAAAGUACUUUCAGUUGGGAGGCGUUACCCGCAGAAGAAGCACCGGCUAACUCCGUGCCAGCAGCCGCGGUAAUAC